rnacentral:lncRNA from 1 species
CAAAAGCUAAGACUCUAGAUUCCGAAACACUGAGAUUCAAAGUCUAGUGUUGUCCUGGCUUUGGGCAAGAAUCCAAAACCUUCAUAUGCUUUGCUUUCUUAACUUGCAUGCCACGGUUGAGCAGAUCUCUGGGGAUGCUUCCAUAUCCGAUCCAUAGCGAAGUAAGGCUUGUUGCUCAGGGGCUCCAGGUAAGUGCGAGCAGGUGCCAAGAGAAAUGCUUUCAACUGUCAACUUGGACAGUUAUAAAAUUGAUG